rnacentral:rRNA from 1 species
UACGGGAGGGUGCGAGCGUUGUCCGGAAUCACUGGGCGUAAAGGGCGCGUAGGUGGCCCGUGGAAGUCUGCGGUGAAAGCCCGGCGCUCAACGCCGGGUCGGCCGUGGAUACUCUCGGGCUCGAGCUUACUAGAGGCAGAUGGAAUUCCGGGUGUAGCGGUGGAAUGCGUAGAGAUCCGGAAGAACACCGGUGGCGAAGGCGGUCUGCUGGGGUAAUGCUGACACUGAUGCGCGACAGCGUGGGAGCAAACAGGA